rnacentral:rRNA from 1 species
GUUGAGUGGCGGACGGGUGAGUAACACGUGGGUAACCUGCCUAAAAGAAGGGGAUAACACUUGGGAAACAGGUGCUAAUACCGUAUAUCUCUAAGGGUCGCAUGAUCCUUAGAUGUAAGAUGGUUCUGCUAUCGCUUUUAGAUGGACCCGCGGCGUAUUAACUAGUUGGUGGGGUAACGGCCUACCAAGGUGAUGAUACGUAGCCGAACUGAGAGGUUGAUCGGCCACAUUGGGACUGAGACACGGCCUAAACUCCUACGGGAGGCAGCAGUAGGGAAUCUUCCACAAUGGACGCAAGUCUGAUGGAGCAACGCCGCGUGAGUGAAGAAGGUCUUCGGAUCGUAAAACUCUGUUGUUAGAGAAGAACACGAGUGAGAGUAACUGUUCAUUCGAUGACGGUAUCUAACCAGCAAGUCACGGCUAACUACGUGCCAGCAGCCGCGGUAAUACGUAGGUGGCAAGCGUUGUCCGGAUUUAUUGGGCGUAAAGGGAACGCAGGCGGUCUUUUAAGUCUGAUGUGAAAGCCUUCGGCUUAACCGGAGUAGUGCAUUGGAAACUGGAAGACUUGAGUGCAGAAGAGGAGAGUGGAACUCCAUGUGUAGCGGUGAAAUGCGUAGAUAUAUGGAAGAACACCAGUGGGCGAAAGCGGCUCUCUGGUCUGUAACUGACGCUGAGGUUCGAAAGCGCGGGUAGCAAACAGGAUUAGAUACCCUGGUAGUCCACGCCCGUAAACGAUGAAUGCUAGGUGUUUGGAGGGUUUCCCGCCCUUCAUGCCGCACCUUACGCAA